AAAUAUUUUGAACAAAUUUGUAGAUAUCAGGCUUUUUUUUAUAAUUAGGGAAAUACAUUUAAAAGCAAAUGCAUCCUGUAUGUUUACCAGCUAGAAGUAGACAUUUGUAGUGGGCUCUGUGAUGUGCAGUCCUGACCACCCCUUCUCAGGAUUAAAAAUCUUAUUCUCCCAGCUGCCAAGAAUUCCGUGUGACGAUGGCUCUCAGUGGACAUUCUCCAUUGUGGAUGGCUUCAGAAUAGUAAAUCCAGGUGGCUGCCUGUGGAUAUCUCAUCUCAUGCUGUGACUCCAGCCAUGCCUUGCCCCUCACCAGCUCUGACACCAGCAGAAGGAGGAGAUAUGGCAUAAGCCUGGACAACAGAUGCUUCUCUAAGAUGUGGACUCUUGAAUGAGAAACACAAGGAUAGAAGGAAUGGUUGAAACAUACUUUAAAUGGAUGAGUGGUAUGCUCUUGAAUUAUAUCUCAAUAAAGCUGUUUUUUUUAAAAAAAGAUACUAUGUGAUCAUUCCUGCCAUCCCUGCUUCCUAGUCUUCCAGAGCAGUUAUGCUCCCUUUGGCUUUCGAGGUUUAAUUCUUGAGACUCCUCUUAAUGAGUCCAGCAUACAUUCAGCAAAUUACUUUUUGCUUUAAGUAGCCUAAAUCUUUAUCUUGUGGCUUGCAAGUUAGAAACUAACUAUAUAAUAUCAAUUUCAAGUCUACAUUAAUAACAAUGAAAACAAUGGCUUCUUUGGAAGUGACCUAUUUUCAACAUAAUCUAACAUUAAUUCACAAACUGGUGGCAUAUAUUUGAUUAUCUAUCAUUAUUCCAUAAUUCAUUUCUGUAAGGUUAUGUUCAUUAUUAUUAUAUUUUUCCAGGUCAUCAUGUAUUUUAGAAUGAUACUAGUUAAAUUCUCUGAAAGCUAAUUAUUCAACUCCUUACUAAAAAAAUUCACACAUCAUUUAAAUCACUUGAGUCAUUGGAAAGUUUACAAGGCUAACAGAAAAAUAAUAUA
rnacentral:lncRNA from 1 species